ensembl:lncRNA
AUUGUCUCUGUGUAAACUACAGGAAAAAAAUAAAAAAUAAAAAUAAAAAAAUAAAUAAAAACCAGUGAAAACAGUGAUGUCAUGCACAUACAUAUUCAGUCUAUAGGCAUGGGUGCAGAUGUGUAGUGAUUCUUUAAAAACUGACAUCAGCAACUACUGGCAUGGCAUGCACAGCACAGCUUUUGUUUAUCUAUAUGUGAAACUUUUCGACACCACACUAUAUUUUCUUUUUUGGUUUUUAGUACAUCAUUGUCAUGUAAAUGUACCUUAGGUCCAUCCCUAACUCCUCCUUAUGCUGGCGGAUGAUCAUUUAUCUGCAUGUCCAAAGAGGUACAGCAUAUCUCUCUAUCCAGCUCAUUGUUGCUCAGUCUUCUCCAAACUAAUUACAGUGUUGUAUUGAUAACACAUGGAAUUAUAUGUAACUGCUGCUUAUAAAAUUACUGGUUAAUUGCCUUAAGAUUCAGGGGUUCAAUCCUCUGCUGCCAAAUAGCUAGUGUUCAAAAACCUAAAGCCAUGGAGGAGACAGGAGGGACUUAAAGCAGGUGGAGCCAGGUAGGACCCAGGCCACAGCUGUGAAGGCGGCCCACGGUGGAGAAAAAGGAGGGAGGAGCUAUGGUUUGGGGAGAGCUGAUGAUUCCAGGGGGUUGACCAAUGUCUAUGGAGCAGGUGGUGGAGGAGCGUGAGGCAGAGAUGGAGAGCCCAUGAGCCAGGGUGACGAGGAGGAUCCGGAGGGCCAAGGCGGAGCAGAUGGCUCAGGCAACCGAGGCAGAGGCUGGGAUCCAGAAGGCCGUGGCGGAGCUGGAGCGACAGAGGACCAUGGAGGAGCCGAUGGGAAGUCAGCAUUUUGCCUCCAUCAGUGAGCAGUGCUUGAUGUGCAGCAUUUGAACUUUGCUCUAAAUACCAACAUCUUCCACCGUCGCUGACCUUGGUUUGUAUGAUAUUUGAACAAACUGGAAGGCUGGCAUGGGAAAGGGUAAGAUUCAAGUUCCAUUGGAUGAAACUGCACCUGCUGUUAUCUCCACUCGCUGGACAUUUUGCUUGGUGGAGCUUAGUGAAUAGUUUUUUUUCAAGAUCAAAUGGAUGGAUUGUGGACUGUGGAUCAAGAAAGAAACUCAAACAGUUUUGAAACAACUUGAGGGUG